rnacentral:lncRNA from 1 species
CAACCACCAUGGUUAUGGAAAUAAAGUGAGCUGAUACUGGUAAAAACACUCAAACAGAACGAGCACUCAGCAGAAAAGUACAGCUAUUUUGUACUUUUAUUACUUUUUCUUAACCAAUAAGCUAAGCAAAGGAGUUGUAAUUUUCAGUGUUCCAGGUCCAGAGAAGAGCCUCAAGCUUUUUAGUUAGCAAUGCUUUUGGCUUCAACUAACAGAAAGCUUACAGUUGCUUAAACUGAUUAUUUUUCUCAUAACAAAAAUUCUGGAAAUAGGGAGCACCUGAAGCAGCAACUCAGGGAUAUCUGAGGUUUUCUUUGUGCAUUUCUUUUGGUCUUUCCCUCCACAAUCACAAGAGUGAUUGCCAAAACAUGAAGUAUUUUAUCUGUACUCUUGUUUGAAGAAAAAUAUCAAAGGGGUUUGUAGUAUAAAUACACAUUUGUGGGCUGGGGCUGUAGCUCAGAGGCAGAGUGCUUGCCUAGCAUGCGAGAAGCACUGGGUUCGAUCCUUAGCACCACAUAAAAAAUAAAUAAAAUAAAGACAUGCUUUCCAUCUACAACUACAAAUUUUUUUUAAAAAAAUACACAUUUGGAACUUAUUUUUUUUAAAGGUAUUACUUGCACAAGGUAGAAAAUGUGAGCAGCAUAAAAGGCAAUACAGCAGCACAUGGUCCCCUAACCCUCCCACAGCAAAUGCCAUUAAAAUUUUGUUUCCUAAAAACAAGUCUCUGCAUCCUCAAAUGUGUGAUCGGGAGCCUCCUAAGAAAAUGAUAAAUCUUUCAGACACCAUAAUACAUUUCAAUAAGAAAUAGACUUUGUAUUUUCAAGCACUGUACAACAUUUCAGAUUAUGUCCGAGGUUUGAUAAACAACUUG